AAUUCGAAGUUGAGCUAUCUAUACAUUGGUCAUUCAUGCAAAUGGUUGUAUAGAGAUACCUGGCUCACGGCAGCCAAGCGUUCAUAGCGACCUUGCCUUUUGGUCCUUCGAUGUCGGCUCUUGCUAUCAUACUGAAGCAGAGUUCAGUAAGCGUUGGAUUGUUCACCCACUAAUAGGGAACAUGACCUGGGGUAUAGGUCGUCGUGAGACAGGUUGGUUUCAAACUACUCAUGAUAUGUUGUUGCAAUAGUAAUUGAACUUGGCACGAGAGGAACCGUUCAUUCGGAUAAUUAGUACUUGGGCCUGCCUGAGCAGGCAAUAGCCCGAAGCUAUCAUCCAUCGGGUUAUGGCUAAAGGCCUCUAAGUCAGAACCAGUGCUAGAAGGCGACGAUUACCGCCUUUUCCGAUUUUUGGUUGAAUACGAAUAGAUCUUCGGAUCCUGAACCAUACUACGUGGGGUCAUCUUACAGAGCGGAAAGGCUUUGUGAUGUUUCUGCUAAUGUUUAUUUCCAACAUUGGAAGACAAAAAUCCGUUGCAGACGACCUUAAUUGAACGGGGUAUUGUAAGCAGUAGAGUAGCCUCGUUGCUAUGAUUUGUUGAGAAUAAGCCCAUUGUUCUGUAGAUUG
rnacentral:ncRNA from 1 species